UACGGAAGGCAGCAGUGGGGAAUAUUGCACAAUGGGCGAAAGCCUGAUGCAGCUAUGCCGCGUGUAUGAAGAAGGCCUUAGGGUUGUAAAGUACUUUCAUCGGGGAGGAAAAAACAAAACUAAUAAUUUUAUUUCUUGACGUUACCCGAAAAAGAAGCACCGGCUAACUCCGUGCCAGCAGCCGCGGUAAUACGGAGGGUGCUAGCGUUAAUCAGAAUUACUGGGCGUAAAGAGCACGUAGGUGGUUUUUUUAAGUCAGAUGUGAAAUCCCUGGGCUUAACCUAGGAACUGCAUUUUGAAACUGAAAUACUAGAGUAUCGUAGAGGGAGGUGAAAUUCUAGGUGUAGCGGUGAAAUGCGUAGAUAUCUGGAGGAAUACCUGUGGCGAAAGCGGCCUCCUAAACGAAUACUGACACUGAGGUGCGAAAGCGUGGGGAGCAAACAGGGAUUAGAUACC
rnacentral:rRNA from 1 species